rnacentral:RNase_P_RNA from 1 species
AAUUUCGGGUAAUCGCGGUCUAGCUAGACUAGGCUGAGGAAAGUCCAUGCUCGCACAGGCUGAAACGUCUGUAGUGUUCGUGCUUAGUGAAACCAUAAGCUAAGGCCUUCAGUUUAUCUGAAGUGACGGCAGAAAAAAGGACUAAGGCGAAAGCUAUGUCUGAGUAUUCUUGAAAGUGCCACAGUGACGAAGCAAUGUUGGAAACAUCAUUGGUGGAACGGGUAAACCCCUCGAGCGAGCAACCCAAACAUUGGUAGGGGCACUUUUCCUAGGGAAUAAAACUGAUGGAAGAGGCGUAAUCGCAGACAGAUGAUUACCUCCGGAUAAUGAUAUUCCUGGUCUUUAUCCGAGACAGAACAUGGCUUAUAGAA